CCUACGGGAGACAGCAGUGAGGAAUAUUGGUCAAUGGACGAGAGUCUGAACCAGCCAAGUAGCGUGAAGGAUGACUGCCCUAUGGGUUGUAAACUUCUUUUAUAUGGGAAUAAAACGUUCCACGUGUGGGAUUUUGUAUGUACCAUAUGAAUAAGGAUCGGCUAACUCCGUGCCAGCAGCCGCGGUAAUACGGAGGAUCCGAGCGUUAUCCGGAUUUAUUGGGUUUAAAGGGAGCGUAGGUGGAUUGUUAAGUCAGUUGUGAAAGUUUGCGGCUCAACCGUAAAAUUGCAGUUGAAACUGGCAGUCUUGAGUACAGGAGAGGUGGGCGGAAUUCGUGGUGUAGCGGUGAAAUGCUUAGAUAUCACGAAGAACUCCGAUUGCGAAGGCAGUUCACUGGACUGCAACUGACACUGAGGCUCGAAAGUGUGGGUAUCAAACAGGAUUAGAUACCCGUGUAGUC
rnacentral:rRNA from 1 species